rnacentral:rRNA from 1 species
GAUGAACGCUAGCGGCAGGCCUAAUACAUGCAAGACGAACGGUAAGUUGAGUAGCAAUACUUAGCCAAGAGUGUCGUACGGGUGCGUAACACGUAUGCAACCUACCCUAUACAGGAGGAUAGCCUAGGGAAACCUGGAUUAACCCUUCAUAGUAUUAUUGGAUGGCAUCAUUUGAUAAUUAAAACUGAGGUGGUAUAGGAUGGGCAUGCGUCUGAUUAGUUAGUUGGCGGGGUAAUGGCCCACCAAGACGAUGAUCAGUAGGGGUUCUGAGAGGAAGAUCCCCCACACUGGCACUGAGAUACGGGCCAGACUCCUACGGGAGGCAGCAGUAGGGAAUAUUGGUCAAUGGAUGCAAGUCUGAACCAGCCAUGCCGCGUGCAGGGAAGAAGGCCUUCUGGGGUUGUAAACUGCUUUUGCCAGGGGAUAAAAUUUCCAUGCGUGGAAAACUGAAGGUACCUGGUGAAUAAGCCACGGCUAAACUACGUGCCAGCAGCCGCGGUAAU